rnacentral:rRNA from 1 species
GGGUUGUGAGGUUAAGCGACUAAGCGUACACGGUGGAUGCCCUGGCAGUCAGAGGCGAUGAAGGGCGUGCUAAUCUGCGAUAAGCGCCGGUAAGGUGAUAUGAACCGUUAUAACCGGCGAUACCCGAAUGGGGAAACCCAGUGUGACUCGUCACACUAUCAUUAACUGAAUCCAUAGGUUAAUGAGGCGAACCGGGGGAACUGAAACAUCUAAGUACCCCGAGGAAAAGAAAUCAACCGAGAUUCCCCCAGUAGCGGCGAGCGAACGGGGAGGAGCCCAGAGCCUGAAUCAGCAUGUGUGUUAGUGGAAGCGUCUGGAAAGGCGCGCGAUACAGGGUGACAGCCCCGUACACAAAAGCGCAUGUGCUGUGAGCUCGAUGAGUAGGGCGGGACACGUGGUAUCCUGUCUGAAUAUGGGGGGACCAUCCUCCAAGGCUAAAUACUCCUGACUGACCGAUAGUGAACCAGUACCGUGAGGGAAAGGCGAAAAGAACCCCGGCGAGGGGAGUGAAAAAGAACCUGAAACCGUGUACGUACAAGCAGUGGGAGCACCCUUUGGGG